GCGCCCGUAGCUCAAUGGAUAGAGCACUGGUCUACGGAACCAGUGGUUGGAGGUUCGAGUCCUCUCGGGCGCG
rnacentral:tRNA from 1 species